ensembl:lncRNA
GCGUUUAAGGUGAUUUGUGUGUCCUGUUUUGUCAACAGCGAUGAUGAAGUGAUGAAGCCUUUUGGAGCACAACUGACACCGACUGGGAAUCCCGAUCGGUGAAGCCGUUUGUUUAGUGGGAGCGGAGCGUUGUGUCGAGGCGCAGAUCGUUGCACUAAGUACACCCGCACCUUCAGAAUUAUUUUCCGACUUGUUGAGACGAAAUCAACAAACAUCUGUUGACUGCACAUCUACACGAUGUGUGUCUGUGUGUGUUAAAAAUAUGGUGGACGUAGUGACGUGAGCGCCUGCUCCAUAAAGUCGGCCUUGUAGCAACGGUGGGUUUAAACAAAUAGCUGCAGAACCGAAAUCCCAUC